rnacentral:ribozyme from 1 species
AAAGGAAAGGAAAUAUAAAAGAAAUAUAAAAGAAAUAUAAAAAUAAGAUGAAACAGAAUUGAAUGAAUUUGGAUAUGAUGGAUU